CGGACGGGUGAGUAACGCGUAGGAAUCUACCUGGUAGUGGGGGACAACAUGGUGAAAACCAUGCUAAUACCGCAUACGCCCUAUGGGGGAAAGCGGGGGAUCUUCGGACCUCGCGCUAUUGGAUGAGCCUGCGUAAGAUUAGCUAGUUGGUGGGGUAAAAGCUCACCAAGGCGACGAUCUUUAGCUGGUCUGAGAGGAUGAUCAGCCACACUGGAACUGAGACACGGUCCAG
rnacentral:rRNA from 1 species